AGCGUUAAGGUGUAUAGUUUAAAACUAGACUUAAUAGGGAAGUAGGUGAAAGUCCUACGCAAUCCCGUUGCUGUAAUUGUGGAGUAAAUCUUUGAGUUAAACCACUGAAGAGUAUAAGUGAUUAUAUGAAUUGGGAAGGUAAAGAUUUGCAAUGAAACAUAAGCCAGAAGACCUGCCUUAAUGA
rnacentral:ncRNA from 1 species